AAUUUAGUAGCCUCACCGUCUUCAGAUUCGACAAAUGA
rnacentral:sRNA from 1 species